AUUGAACGCUGGCGGCAUGCUUUACACAUGCAAGUCGAACGGUAACAGGGAGCUUGCUCCGCUGACGAGUGGCGAACGGGUGAGUAAUGCGUCGGAACGUGCCGAGUAGUGGGGGAUAACGCAUCGAAAGGUGUGCUAAUACCGCAUACGAACUGAGGUUGAAAGUGGGGGACCUUCGGGCCUCACGCUAUUCGAGCGGCCGACGUCUGAUUAGCUAGUUGGUGAGGUAAAGGCUCACCAAGGCGACGAUCAGUAGCGGGUCUGAGAGGAUGAUCGGCAACCAUGGGACUGAGACACGGCCCAUACUCCUACGGGAGGCAGCAGUGGGGAAUUUUGGACAAUGGGCGGAAGCCUGAUCCAGCCAUGCCGCGUGUCUGAAGAAGGCCUUCGGGUUGUAAAGGACUUUUGUCCGGGAGCAAAUGCUGGUGGCUAACAUCCACCGGAGCUGAGAGUACCGGAAGAAUAAGCACCGGCUAACUACGUGCCAGCCGCCGCCGUAAAAC
rnacentral:rRNA from 1 species